UUUGUCCUUAAUUAGUGUUCAUAGAAUAUAACUUUAAAAGUAGCGGAACUUUUCUUUGAAAAUUUGUUUGGGGAGGGAAUGUUAUCGGUGGGACGCUUAUGUGCGGCUCCCUCUUGUACAUCAUGCGGUCGCCUCAGUCUAUGUUGCGUAUGAUGCCGAUGAUGAUGCUCGUGUUUUUCGCUCCUCCUGUACUCUUGUGGUAAUAUUUCUUCUCUGAAACGCAUUUUGACGCUAAGAGAAUGUGAUUAACAUGAUGAUUGUGUUAGUUAUGUUAAAACUGUAUCAGUGAAUGUGUUUUUUUAAUUAUUCAAAACGAGAUAUCAUGUCGUGAUCGUGAUGCUAACUGUUUAGCAUUAUAUGUACUAGUGUGUACCAGUGAGGGAGAAACUGACGCCUUGGAAUCAGUUCAUCCUGCUGGAUUUGUUUAAGAGGUUUUUCAAUAAAUGUUCAGCAAAAUAAAUAUUGCAUUCCAAGUAUGCAAGAGACGCGCUAGUAUGCACAGGACAUACAAGAAGCCCAACAAUGUAUUUUAAGAGAAGAAUGAGCUACCAAGAAGGUUCAUCCUGAGCAUGUACAUCAUGUUGUUCUUCAAACCUGAGAGGGAAAACACCAUCUCUGACAUCUUUUGACUGAAAACCUGUAUGUGUAGCAAAACCUACCAAAGUAUUCCCCUGAAAAAGACUCAAGAAAACCUGUCAAAUCAUGUGCACCAAGACUGUCCACAACCACACUGUGUCAAUUAUCUGGAAACAUUUAUCAGAGUCAAACCCACCUUGUGUCACGAACUACGAGCCAGCGCCUGAGGUGACGCGUCUCCGGAAUACUAUCGCGCUUCCGGACUACAUUUCCCAUCCACCACCAGUCCCGCUCAUUAUCACCGUCACCUGUUUCUCAUCUCCUCUCCCGUUAAAACCACACAUGAACUUGUCAUCUGUGCGAGGUCUCGACUAGUCUCCGUACUGUCAUUCUGAGCGUUUUCCUGUGUUCUGAUAUCCUGGUAUUGUUCUGUUUCCUGUUUCUGGCUCUUCUGUCUGUUUUCUGCCUGCCUGACCUUUUGCCUGUUCUCGACUCUGAUUUUUGCCUAUCCUCUUAUUUGUACCUCUGCCUGUCCUGAUUUUUGCCUGUCUGAACACUCUUCUGAUUGUGAUUAAAACUAAGCUGCAAAUGGAUACACAGCCGUAUGCCUCCUCAUUACACCUUGCUUCUCUAAAGUGAUGAGGUUGUUUACAAGAGGCUCAAGAAUUUUUUC